GGAUGUGAAGCUGAUCUGCCUGCAACAUCUGUCACCCCAUUGAUCACCAGGGUAGAUUCAGCUUAUCUGGCUGGCUAAGCGGGUGUCCCCUUCCUCCCUCACUGCUUCACGUGACUCCUUCCCGAAGCUGCGCACUCAGUGGAAGAGGACGACCAUCUGCAAUAGAGGGGGACCGGUCUUUUGUCAAGGGUAUAGGAGUAGCUGUGCUCCCCUGCUAGAACCUCCAAACAAGCUCUCAAGGUUCAUAAACGUGAUUCUAUUUCAACUGUUGUAUGAUCAGUAAUUGAGCUUCAUCGUGAUGGUGUUCAAAGAU
rnacentral:snRNA from 1 species